rnacentral:rRNA from 1 species
GAUGAACGCUGGCGGCGUGCCUAAUACAUGCAAGUCGAGCGAACAGACGAGGAGCUUGCUCCUCUGACGUUAGCGGCGGACGGGUGAGUAACACGUGGAUAACCUACCUAUAAGACUGGGAUAACUUCGGGAAACCGGAGCUAAUACCGGAUAUAAUAUUGAACGGAAGGGUUCAUUGGUGAAGACGGUUUUUGCUGUACCUAUUGGUGGAUCCCCGCCGCAUUAGCUAGUUGGUAAGGUAACGGCUUACCAAGGCAACGAUGCGUAGCCGACCUGAGAGGGUGAUCGGCCACACUGGAACUGAGACACGGUCCAGACUCCUACGGGAGGCAGCAGUAGGGAAUCCUCCGCAAUGGGCGAAAGCCUGACGGAGCAACGCCGCGUGAGUGAUGAAGGUCUUCGGAUCGUAAAACUCUGUUAUUAGGGAAGAACAAAUGUGUAAGUAACUAUGCACGUCUUGACGGUACCUAAUCAGAAAGCCACGGCUAACUACGUG